rnacentral:rRNA from 1 species
CCUACGGGUGGCAGCAGUGAGGAAUAUUGGUCAAUGGGCGGGAGCCUGAACCAGCCAAGUCGCGUGAGGGAAGACGGUCCUACGGAUUGUAAACCUCUUUUGCCGGGGAGCAACGGGGUCCUUGCGAGGGCCCGAUGAGAGUACCCGGAGAAAAAGCAUCGGCUAACUCCGUGCCAGCAGCCGCGGUAAUACGGAGGAUGCGAGCGUUAUCCGGAUUUAUUGGGUGUAAAGGGCGUGUAGGCGGGAGCGCAAGUCAGAUGUGAAAACUCAGGGCUCAACCCUGAGCCUGCAUUUGAAACUGUGUUUCUUGAGUGCUGGAGAGGCAAUCGGAAUUCCGUGUGUAGCGGUGAAAUGCGUAGAUAUACGGAGGAACACCAGUGGCGAAGGCGGAUUGCUGGACAGUAACUGACGCUGAGGCGCGAAAGCGUGGGGAGCAAACAGGAUUAGAUACCCGAGUAGUC